UACAGAGGGUGCGAGCGUUAAUCGGAAUUACUGGGCGUAAAGCGCACGUAGGCGGCUUGGUAUGUCGGGUGUGAAAUCCCCGGGCUCAACCUGGGAACUGCAUCCGAAACUGCCUUGCUCGAGUAUGGGAGAGGGAAGUGGAAUUUCCGGUGUAGCGGUGAAAUGCGUAGAUAUCGGGAGGAACACCAGUGGCGAAGGCGGUUGCCUGGAGCUUUGCUGACGCUGAGGCGCGAAAGCGUGGGGAGCGAUCCGG
rnacentral:rRNA from 1 species